rnacentral:rRNA from 1 species
GACGUAGGGCGCGAGCGUUGUCCGGAUUUAUUGGGCGUAAAGAGCUCGUAGGCGGCUUGUCGCGUCGACUGUGAAAUCCCGCGGCUCAACUGCGGGUCUGCAGUCGAUACGGGCAGGCUAGAGUUCGGUAGGGGAGACUGGAAUUCCUGGUGUAGUGGUGAAAUGCGCAGAUAUCUGGAGGAACACCGGUGGCGAAGGCGGCAUCCUGGACCGGCAUUGACGCUGAGGCGCGAAAGCCAGGGGAGCAAACGGG